GAGUUUGAUCCUGGCUCAGGAUGAACGCUGGCGGCGUGCUUAACACAUGCAAGUCGAACGAAGCACUUUAUUUGAUUUCCUUCGGGACUGAUUAUUUUGUGACUGAGUGGCGGACGGGUGAGUAACGCGUGGGUAACCUGCCUUGUACAGGGGGAUAACAGUCAGAAAUGACUGCUAAUACCGCAUAAGCGCACAGGACCGCAUGGUCCGGUGUGAAAAACUCCGGUGGUAUAAGAUGGACCCGCGUUGGAUCAGCUAGUUGGCAGGGUAACGGCCUACCAAGGCGACGAUCCAUAGCCGGCCUGAGAGGGUGAACGGCCACAUUGGGACUGAGACACGGCCCAGACUCCUACGGGAGGCAGCAGUGGGGAAUAUUGCACAAUGGGGGAAACCCUGAUGCAGCGACGCCGCGUGAAGGAAGAAGUAUCUCGGUAUGUAAACUUCUAUCAGCAGGGAAGAAAAUGACGGUACCUGACUAAGAAGCCCCGGCUAACUACGUGCCAGCCGCCGCGGUAAUUC
rnacentral:rRNA from 1 species